rnacentral:rRNA from 1 species
ACUCCUACGGGAGGCAGCAGUGGGGAAUAUUGCACAAUGGGCGCAAGCCUGAUGCAGCCAUGCCGCGUGUGUGAAGAAGGCCUUCGGGUUGUAAAGCACUUUCAGUUGUGAGGAAAGGUUAGUCGCUAAUAUCGGCUAGCUGUGACGUUAGCAACAGAAGAAGCACCGGCUAACUCUGUGCCAGCAGCCGCGGUAAUACAGAGGGUGCGAGCGUUAAUCGGAUUUACUGGGCGUAAAGCGUGCGUAGGCGGCCAUUUAAGUCAAAUGUGAAAUCCCCGAGCUUAACUUGGGAAUUGCAUUCGAUACUGGGAUGGCUAGAGUAUGGGAGAGGAUGGUAGAAUUCCAGGUGUAGCGGUGAAAUGCGUAGAGAUCUGGAGGAAUACCGAUGGCGAAGGCAGCCAUCUGGCCUAAUACUGACGCUGAGGUACGAAAGCAUGGGGAGCAAACAGGAUUAGAUACCCUGGUAGGCGUAGU